UACGGAGGGGGCAAGCGUUGUUCGGAAUUACUGGGCGUAAAGGGCGCGCAGGCGGCUGCGUCAAGUCGAGGCGUGAAAGGCCUGGGCUCAACCCGGGAAUUGCGCUUGAGACUGGGCUGGCUUGAGUGCGGGAGAGGAUGGUGGAAUUCCCAGUGUAGAGGUGAAAUUCGUAGAUAUUGGGAAGAACACCGGUGGCGAAGGCGGCCAUCUGGACCGCAACUGACGCUGAGGCGCGAAAAGCGUGGGGGAGCAAACAGGG
rnacentral:rRNA from 1 species